AUCUCUUUUUCAAGUUUUUAAUAAAGUCUGAUCCAGUAAGAUUUGGUAAGUUGAAUUAACAGCUUACAAACAAUAUUUGUCAGCUUAAUUUAGAAUGAAAUUUUUGGUCUCAGACACCACACCACUUCCCCCACCGCCACCAUCGAACUGAGUCGGAGAAAAUGGUGGAUCCUCUCUCUGUUGCCAUCGUCACUCGUCACGACUGUUAUCAUGAAAUCGUCGCCGAUUUGUUGCCUCAUCGCCGCCUUUUUGAUCGCUUUUGACGCGGCAACGGCGGUUUUCCGGCCUACAGAUCUUGCGGCGGUGAUGGAGUAUAGCCGCAUCGUCCGGGUACGGGAUCUUUCUCUCUGUCUCUCUAUUUUUUUUACCAUUAAACCCUAAAUCAUGUAAUCCCGAUUCGAUUGCCGACCCGUAUUCGUUAGAGAUCCGUGACCGGCAGGAUUUCGUUGUGUUUUUGGGUCGCCGCCGACAAGUACCGUAUCGGAAUCGCAACCUCUACAUUAGCCGCCGUCGAUCUGAUGAGUCCGUCUCAGAUCUGGCACAUGCAUUGCUGGAAGACCGGUUAGCCAACGAUUGACCGUAACCCUAGACUGUCGAGCAGCGCAACCACCACACACCGUCAGUUCACGAAGCAGUAACCCUCGUGGUUGUUAGGGUUGAAACCACCUUCACCGGAAAACCAUUUUGAGUCCCGGAGUGUUUCAUGCGAGAAAGGGCAAACCGGUCAAUUCGUAGUCAGUUUGCAAGUUCGUCAUUUCACAAUAUACAAAGGGCAUAUUGUUAAUUUUGUCGGUGCACUGUAGCACCGACUUUCUUCUUUAAGAUGUUAUAGAAUAGAAUACCAAGAUUGAAGUUUUUGUUUGGUAAAAGGAUUGUCACAAGUAACUUCUCACGGUUUGAUGUUGUUAGAGACCAAUUCGAGAUAAUCAAUCUCCCAAAGGGGAAGGAUAAAACAAAAACUCACUUGAGUAAAAAAAAAAACCCAUAGAAAACCUUAUGUAACAUUUUUAAUAAAAAAAUCUGGGAAUGUAAUAUAAAUAUUUUUGAACAUUUUUAUAAAAAACAUAAAAAGCGCCGACUAAUUUUUUUUAAAUGUUCAAAAUCUAUAUGUUAUAUUUUCUGGACAUAUAUAUUAUGUAGCAUGAAAUUCGCAACAUGUUUAAAUAUUAUUGUUACAUUCCCAGUAUCUUUUAAAUGUUAUAUAAGGUUUUUAUAAAGAUUUUUUGAGUUUUUUUUUUAAUUAAAGUGAGUUUUCUUUUUAUACUUUACGUAUGUAUAUAUAUAUAUAUAUAUAUAUAUAUAUAUAUAUAUAUAGGGUAGGGUUCUAGAGUGAACAACCUCCCAUUUGUGAACCGUGUGAACUUAUCCGGACCCUUGAUUUUCAUCAUCUUGAGAUUUUAAAAGAAUAGCAUGAUGGUAAUUACUUGGUUAAACAUAUCCAUUUAAUUAAAUGAAUAAGGGUAUUUAUGUAAUUACAUAUUGAAACAUUUCAAAUCCCGGAAACCAAACAGUUUCCAUACUUCCCCAAAUCUAUCAACUCCUAAAGUAUCGCAAUUUUUGUUUUAAGAAUCCCUAAUCUUCAUCUUUUAUUCAACUUUCUUUCUAUCUCUCUAUCAAUAACGUUUUCAAGAAAACCCAGAGGAGCCCCGUCGGAGUUCUUGAGAUGCCGAAAAAAACAUACGAUAUUUAUCAACAAAGUGCCGCAUAGGUUGGACUUUGAUUGGAAGACGUACGGAAACAAGGUUGAUUGUGGCGUGUUCGUUAUGCGUCAUAUGGAAAGUUGGUUCGACGUAACAGUUGAUAAAUGGGAUAGUGGCUUCCCACUUGCACAUUGGCCCAAGAAAGCAACCUUGACACAAUUAAGGAAGAAAUACACGGUGAAGUUGGUAACUUCAAGUAUUAACAAGCGUCGGGAUCGCAUAAUGGCUGAAGUAGUCGAGUACGGGAAGGCUUUCAAAUUGGGUUAAUUAGUACGUUUGAUGAAGUGUUGUUUCGUAUUUUGACAUUACUUGAUAUUCGUACUGUUGGUUUCUUUUGGAUAGAUGUUUCGUUUUGACUUUGGUAACUUAACUUUGUUUCGUUUUGACUGGGACUUUUAUUUUGUUUGUAAGCAACAUAAACAUAUGUAAAUAUGUUUAUUGUACACAUGUAACUGGUAACAUAUACAUAUGUAUGCAUCAUAAACAUAUGUAA